GCUAAAGUAAACUAUAUAGGUUGUUGGGCUCAUACCCCGAACGAAGAACUAUGUUCUCUUUAGCU
rnacentral:tRNA from 1 species